ensembl:lncRNA
CUGAUGCAGAGCCCAUGGCCACCCUCUAGGGCGGGGCCAGUGGGGCUCUACCCACUCAGGGCACUGGGUCCUUGAAGCCUAGGCAUUUGGGCAGGGGAAUGGAGGAAGAUGGAGAAGGAAAUGGCAACCCACGCCAAUCCUCUUGCCUAGAAAAUUCCAUGGAUGGAGGAACCUGGUGGGCCACAGUCCAUGGGGUUGCAAAGAGUUGGACAUGAUGGAACAACUUCACUUUCAUGAAAGUGAAAAAGAUACAGCAAAGUGAAUCGGCUAUACGUGUGUCUGUGCUCCAUUGCUUGUCGUGUACAACUCGGCGACCCCGUGGACUGCACGCUGCCAGG